GACGAACGCUGGCGGCGUGCUUAACACAUGCAAGUCGAACGAAGUGGCGAACGGGUGAGCAAUACGUGGGUAACCUGCCCUCCUUUUUGGGAUAAGCCUUGGAAACGGGGUCUAAUACCGAAAAAAGGGGGAGGGGCUGGCGGCCUAUCAGCUUGUGGGGGGGGGGAUGGCCUACCAAGGCGGUGACGGGUAGCCGGCCUGAGAGGGUGACCGGCCACAUUGGGACUGAGAUACGGCCCAGACUCCUACGGGAGGCAGCAGUGGGGGAUAUUGCACAAUGGGCGAAAGCCUGAUGCAGCGACGCCGCGUGUAUGAAGAAGGCCUUCGGGUUGUAAAGUACUUUCAGCGGGGAGGCGUUACCCGCAGAAGAAGCACCGGCUAACUCCGUGCCAGCAGCCGCGGUAAUAC
rnacentral:rRNA from 1 species